CAAUAGCGUAUAUUAAAGCUGUUGCGGUUAAAAAGCUCGUAGUUGGAUUUCUGUCAAGGACAACUGGUCCGCCCUCCGGGUGAGCACAUAGUUUGGUCUUGGCAUCUUGCUGGAAACUGUUGCUGCACUUGACUGUGUGGCGCAGCGUCCAGCACUUUCACUUUGAGGAAAUUGGAGUGUUUCAAGCAGGCACAUGCCUUUGGACACAGUAGCAUGGAAUAAUUAGAUUGGGCUUUUGCUCCAAUUUGUCGGUUUCUGGAGCUGAGGUGAGAAUUAAUGGGGAUUGUUGGGGGCAUCCGAAUUUAGCCGUCAGAGGUGAAAUUCUUGGAUCUGCUAAAGACGGACAACUGCGAAAGCAUUUGCCAAGGAUGUUUUCAUUGA
rnacentral:rRNA from 1 species